rnacentral:pre_miRNA from 1 species
AGUGUAAUUGCUAGAUCAUAUGGUAACUAUAUGUUUAACUCAUCAAGGAACUGCCAAAAUGUUUUUGCAGUUACUAUACCAUAUUUUAUGCCUACCAACAGU